rnacentral:rRNA from 1 species
CCUACGGGAGGCAGCAGUGAGGAAUAUUGGUCAAUGGACGAGAGUCUGAACCAGCCAAGUAGCGUGAAGGAUGACUGCCCUAUGGGUUGUAAACUUCUUUUAUAUGGGAAUAAAACGUUCCACGUGUGGGAUUUUGUAUGUACCAUAUGCAUAAGGAUCGGCUAACUCCGGGCCAGCAGCCGCGGUAAUACGGAGGGUCCGAGCGUUUUCCGGAUUUUUUUGGGUUGAAGGGGUGGUAGGUGGGUUGUUAAGUCAGUUGUGAAAGAUUGCGGCUAAAACGUAAAAUUGCAGUUGAAACUGGAAGUCUUGAGUACAGGAGAGGUGGGCGGAAUGCGUGGUGUAGCGGUGAAAUGCAUAGAUAUCACGAAGAACUCCGAUUGCGAAGGCAGUUCACUGGACUGCAACUGACGCUGAGGCUCGAAAGUGUGGGGAUCAAACAGGAUUAGAUACCCUUGUAGUC